rnacentral:rRNA from 1 species
UACUGAGGAUGCGAGCGUUAUCCGGAUUUAUUGGGUUUAAAGGGUGCGUAGGCGGCUUUUUAAGUCAGCGGUGAAAUUUUGCAGCUUAACUGUAACAGUGCCGUUGAUACUGGGGAGCUAGGAUUUGGUUGCUGUGGGUGGAAUGUGUGGUGUAGCGGUGAAAUGCUUAGAGAUCACACAGAACAUCGAUUGCGAAGGCAGCUCACAAAGCCAAGAUUGACGCUGAGGUACGAAAGUGUGGGGAUCAAACAGGAUUA